UAAUAGUAAAAAUCGGAAAAUUCAAUUUCCCAAGCGAAGUUUAUGACCCACUGUAAUGAUAGUAAUCUGUUGGAGAAAAGAUUUUAUAAAGUCAUGUCAUUUUUCAUUGGUGGCAGCCAUUCUAACCUCACAAAACCAACGCAGACGACAAACACAGCACCAAAGUGGGGAGUGGAUGGGAUAAUGGGAUGGAUGCAUAUUAAAGUUGCGUUAAGUGUGGAGCGAAAAACAAUUUGCACUCGUUUAAAACGCGCAAAGUGCUGCGGGAUUUAAAUUGAGAUUAAUUUGCAAAGCGGAGCGUCAGAUAAUAAUUUAAAUAGUAAUUAUGAAGAAAAUGUUUUUAGAUAAAUUUUUUUUUGUUGAAAUUUUUAAGAAAAACGAAAAAAAACUUUUUUUUUCUUUAAA